GAAAUGCGAUAAGUAAUGUGAAUUGCAGAAUUCAGUGAAUCAUCGAAUCUUUGAACGCACCUUGCGCUCCUUGGUAUUCCUUGGAGCAUGCCUGUUUGAGUAUCAUGAAAUCUUCAAAGUAAAUCUUUUGUUAACUCAAUUGGUUUCUACUUUGGUAUUGGAGGUCUUUGCAGCUUCACACCUGCUCCUCUUUGUUCAUUAGCUGGAUCUCAGUGUUAUGCUUGGUUCCACUCGGCGUGAUAAGUUAUCUAUCGCUGAGGACACUGUAAAAGGUGGCCAAGGUAAAUGCAGAUGAACCGCUUCUAAUAGUCCAUUGACUUGGACAAUACUUUUAUGAUCUGAUCUCAAAUCAGGUAGGACUAACCGCUGAACUUAAGA
rnacentral:misc_RNA from 1 species